AAUGGUAAGAAAAACAGACAAGACCCAAAGAUAAGCAAGACUAAGCUAAAAAAGCUGCAGAAAUUGGAGGAGGAAAAGCAAAAGAGGCUACUACAAGCAAGAAGCUUUGAGAUUUUGCGGAAUCAUAAGAUUUCAAUUGAUGGAUAUUCGCUGCUGCAUGCUUCAGCCACUAUUGGUCAAGCUGAGACUUUGAAA